rnacentral:rRNA from 1 species
AUUGAACGCUGGCGGAAUGCUUUACACAUGCAAGUCGAACGGUAGAGGGGGCAACCCCUCGAGAGUGGCGAACGGGUGAGUAAUAUAUCGGAACGUGCCCAGUCGUGGGGGAUAACGUAGCGAAAGUUACGCUAAUACCGCAUACGAUCUAAGGAGGAAAGCGGGGGAUCGCAAGACCUCGCGGCAUUGGAGCGGCCGAUAUCAGAUUAGGUAGCUGGUGGGGUCAAGGCGCACCAAGCCAACGAUCUGUAGCUGGUCUGAGAGGACGACCAGCCACACUGGAACUGAGACACGGUCCAGACUCCUACGGGAGGCAGCAGUGGGGAAUUUUGGACAAUGGACGCAAGUCUGAUCCAGCCAUUCCGCGUGCAGGAUGAAGGCCCUCGGGUUGUAAACUGCUUUUGUACGGAACGAAAAGGUCUCUCUUAAUACGGGGGACUCAUGACGGUACCGUAAGAAUAAGCACCGGCUAACUACGUGCCAGCCGCCGCGGUAA